rnacentral:rRNA from 1 species
UGCAGUCGAGCGAACAGAAGGGAGCUUGCUCCCGGAUGUUAGCGGCGGACGGGUGAGUAACACGUGGGUAACCUGCCUGUAAGACUGGGAUAACUCCGGGAAACCGGAGCUAAUACCGGAUAGUUCCUUGAACCGCAUGGUUCAAGGAUGAAAGACGGUUUCGGCUGUCACUUACAGAUGGACCCGCGGCGCAUUAGCUAGUUGGUGGGGUAAUGGCUCACCAAGGCGACGAUGCGUAGCCGACCUGAGAGGGUGAUCGGCCACACUGGGACUGAGACACGGCCCAGACUCCUACGGGAGGCAGCAGUAGGGAAUCUUCCGCAAUGGACGAAAGUCUGACGGAGCAACGCCGCGUGAGUGAUGAAGGUUUUCGGAUCGUAAAGCUCUGUUGUUAGGGAAGAACAAGUGCGAGAGUAACUGCUCGCACCUUGACGGUACCUAACCAGAAAGCCACGGCUAACUACGUGCCAGCAGCCGCGGUAAUACGUAGGUGGCAAGCGUUGUCCGGAAUUAUUGGGCGUAAAGGGCUCGCAGGCGGUUUCUUAAGUCUGAUGUGAAAGCCCCCGGCUCAACCGGGGAGGGUCAUUGGAAACUGGGAAACUUGAGUGCAGAAGAGGAGAGUGGAAUUCCACGUGUAGCGGUGAAAUGCGUAGAGAUGUGGAGGAACACCAGUGGCGAAGGCGACUCUCUGGUCUGUAACUGACGCUGAGGAGCGAAAGCGUGGGGAGCGAACAGGAUUAGAUACCCUGGUAGUCCACGCCGUAAACGAUGAGUGCUAAGUGUUAGGGGGUUUCCGCCCCUUAGUGCUGCAGCUAACGCAUUAAGCACUCCGCCUGGGGAGUACGGUCGCAAGACUGAAACUCAAAGGAAUUGACGGGGGCCCGCACAAGCGGUGGAGCAUGUGGUUUAAUUCGAAGCAACGCGAAGAACCUUACCAGGUCUUGACAUCCUCUGACAACCCUAGAGAUAGGGCUUUCCCUUCGGGGACAGAGUGACAGGUGGUGCAUGGUUGUCGUCAGCUCGUGUCGUGAGAUGUUGGGUUAAGUCCCGCAACGAGCGCAACCCUUGAUCUUAGUUGCCAGCAUUUAGUUGGGCACUCUAAGGUGACUGCCGGUGACAAACCGGAGGAAAGGGGGGGGAUGACGUCAAAUCAUCAUGGCCCUUAUGACCUGGGCUACACACGUGCUACAAUGG